UUUGGAUACCUGAAGACCUGCAGUAAGGAUGUUUUCUUCCAUAGAAGCUGUACAGUGACACAGAGGAGGGAAUGUGAUACCCAUGCAUAAAGAUGUGCUCCUGAACAUUUCCGGCCUGGUCUUCAGGUAGCCCCAGGGCAUUGGCACUUUCAGCUCUUCUGUGAAUUAAUUCUUCACCUGUUUUCCCUUCUCUCUCCAGUCCAGAGCAAGGUCACCUCGAGAGAAGGGGCUUCUGUGACCUGUGGGAGUGGGCUUCCUCCGUUUCCACUACGAUGUUUAUUUGCUAAACAGCAUUUUGGACAAUUUAGAAAUUUUGUGGUUUCUUUUCUUGUUUGUUAUUAGUCCCUCACAGGCGUAGUUCCACAAGAACAGGACCCUAUACUAUUUUACACACUGCUGGAUGGACCUAGGAAAAUGAGUAAAAUACAGAAAAGGCAGCUGGGAGCAGGCCUGUAGUCUCCACUGUUGGAGGGCUGAGGCAGGAGGAUUGCCUGGGAUACAGAGUGAGUUCAGGGGCAGCCUGAGUAAGUAAGUUACUGAGACCUUCUAUCAAACUUUAAGAAGCUGGGGCAAUGGCUCCGUGAGCAACAGCACCUGCUGUGUGGGCACGAGGGCCUGAGUUUGAACCCCAGCAUUCAUAUAAACAAAAAUGAUGCAAACAAAUAAUACUUAAAAAUUAAAUCAAAAAAUUUAAUAGCUAGAGCUAUAGUUCAAGGAGUAGAACACUUGCUUAGCAUUCUUGACACCCUGGAUUUGAUUUCCAGCACCACAAAAUAAACAAUGACAAAUAAAUAAAUAAAGGCAGGUGUGGUGAUGCACACACUGUAAUCCCAGCACUUGAGGCUGAGACAGGAGGAUGAGGAAUGGAAGGCCAGCCUAGGCUACAUUACAAGUUUAAAGCCAGACUGUGUUAUUAGAAUCUGCCUUAGUAAAUGCAAAGCUAUCACAAAAUGGCUAGGCACAGUCUUGCCUGAAAUCCCAACCAACUUGGGAGGCUGAUGUAGAAGGCUGUCACAAGUUUAAGGCCAGCCUAGGCUACACAGUGAGGCCUUGUCUCAACAAAUAAGUAAAUAAACAAACACAGGAAUGAAAUUUAAAAAAAAAACUGAAAAUAACUACAAACACAGAGACAGCCGCACGCCAGGCAUCCAGACACACGACUGUCGUCUGUCCAUCCCACCGGAACCCCUGUACUUACUGGGGUCACAAACUUGUUGGCUUCCCAUGCCCACAGCGGUGGGUCCUUAUAGACCUCCUUGAUGGAGGUCGGAGCCCUGUAGGAGUCACUGUAGGUGCUUAUGGGGGUCUUGGUCUUCCGGGAGAAGAGGAACAUGGUGGAGUCUCAGGGAUGCGGUAGUGGGCUCUGCCUAUCAAGGACUCCUGCUGGACAUCAGUGACCACCCCUUCCCAUAGACAGCCCACACCUCCAGCCUGGAAGGUGCCCUAGCUGCUGUGACCCCCUCCUUUGGGGGACCUCUCAGUGUCCCUCCCCCCUCAGCCUUCCUGCUUCCACUCCACCCGGCUUCCUUUCCAGGAUGGGCGUGCCCAUUAUGAUAUCACUUGCCUUGGCCCCAUCCCGCACAAGAGGAUUCAUUUCCUCCCCAUGCCAGCCCCUUCCUGCCUUGAACCCUUCAAAAUAUCCAUGUCCCAAGAGUUCAGAAGGCCCCUAGAAAACAGGAGGCCAGACUUUUCACUGCCGGAGAGGCAGCGGUUAGGAGGGCUGUGAUUCACUAGGCUCACACAUCAAUAAGAAGAGAUGCAUGCGCAUCCAGGGGGUGAGUUUUCUCCCCUCCUCAGCCCACAGCCCAGGUAAGGAGACGCAUCUGGCUUGUUUGAUGCUUUUAAUAUCAUUAUUUGUGUUACACGAUACACAACCAAGGAUGAUGGUCAAUACUGCGAUGGAAAUGUUAAAAAAAAUAUUAUACACGGCUCAUGUCUUCCACACACCUUCUUGGAAAUAAAUUAGUGAGCGCGGAGAAACCUGGCUGGGUGGCAGCCACAGCCUAGGGUGAGGGAAUGUUAAGGCAGUAUCUACAAGGGGUGGGGGGGAGCUGGGGCACGCUAAGGCCCUGGCUCUUCCCCUUCAACUUCCAGACAGGGAGGGAGGAGGGAACCUUGGACUCUCCUUGGACACAGAAGCUGCUGGCUGCCAGCUUCCUGCCCGUACCCACGGUGUAUAUACUACCCCAGUCUAAAGCCCUGGCCUGCUAAUGAACGAGUGUGUCCUGUGGGGAGGGCACUUUUCCCUGGCUCUCAGGGCCACAGACGUUGAUGGGCCAGAAUCCCACAGUAAGUCAGCAGCAGAGGCAGCAGUCUACAAAGAGGAGGUACCAUGUUCUAGAAGGCCCCCACCUCCCAGGACUGGUACCCGGAGAGUGGAAUGUGAGCGGUAGCCAUGACAGUGGAAACCCCAGCCUGUGUGGGGCGUCAGCAGGAGGCCUGGAGAAGCCAUACUUUGGCCACUUUGGCUUGCAAGUAAGGAAGCAGGAGCGUGACAGCAGAGGGAGAAGGCAGUGAUCUCGUGGAGAGGCAGUACCCUUUGGACAGCUUUGCCGGGCUUCCCAUCUGGAGAUGAGGCGGAAACACAAAUAGGCUGGAGUUGGGGAAUUCAUGGCUUCACUGGCCCUGGGGCCAAACCGCUGGCCUUGUGAUCCCUUCACCCGACUGCUUACAAUUGGCCUCCUGGCCUUCAGUGCUGCCCCUGAUUGCAGCUCUGGGGAGAGGUGGCAGGGUGCUUGGGUGUAGUUUCCCCCAAGUAACUGAACAUACAGUGCCCCACCCCCCCCAGCCCCAGGGCUGGAGACAGACCCGGUUUUGGUUUCUCCGGCUCCAUGAACACACAGAGGUACACGUCCUACCAUAGGAGGAAGCAAUGACUGUUACGAGGUUGGCGGCUGUAAGGGGCUCGGGGUUGUAAGGGGGCCGGUGGGCCAGCUGGGUAGGGGUCUGCCCCUGCCGGCCCCACCUGGCCCGACUCGGCCCCGCCCCGUGCGCCGCGGCGACCCCGCCCGCUACUGAAUGUGGCAGGCGGUGGAGGAAGUGGCCUGGCAGCACAUGCAGGUGGGGUUCACGGACUUGGGGGGGAUGAGAUCUAGGUCCUCAUCGUCGGGGAUCUCGUCUAACCGGUAGCCGUCCUUCAGCAGCUGGAUGUUCAAAUCUUGGUUGAUCUGCUGUAGAAAAGGUUCGAGUCAGCUGGAAGGCAUCACCCCGGGCUGAGGGCGCCACUGCCACCCCGAGGCCACAGUGACAGCCCCUUCUCAUAUCAGGUUUAUUUCCAACUCCGGCCUGGCCGGGCCUCAUUUCCCCCAGGCAAGUCUUCCUAACUCAUUUCCCCCAGGCAAGUCUUCCUAACUCAUUUCCCCCAGGCAAGUCUUCCUAAGGCCCUCUACAGACCCCUGCCCAGUCCAAAGAUCAACUUCCCAUCUUGACCCUUGCUUCUGUUCGGGUGUGCUCCCGUUUCAGGCCCACUCCUGGAACGUGUUGCCUGCAUGUCACCCUGUUCUAUUUUAGAGCCCCGCUGUAAUAACCCCAGGCUCACUGCGAUUCAGGGUAGUGAUUUCUUCCCAGGCUCUCCCGACUCCUGCGGAGCCCCGUCCUUAUAGGUCUCUGCCCCAUCUGCCUGCCUUCUGCCCCCUAAGAGGCCCAGUCUUGCAGCCUGGCGGAGGCAGUUACGGCUCCCAUAGUCUGUGGAGGUAAGGGGUGGAGCCUCACCUCCGCAGAGGAGUAGCCAGAGGAAGAGUAUCUGGACAUGUCAAAGUCAUCAUCGCUGGCCGAGAAAAGGAGAGAGGAAGUGAUUCAGGAAAAUUAAAUAGAAAAUUCUCAGUAUCUCUGCCAUACCCGCCGUCCCCCAACAGUAAGAUUUUAAUAAUCCGUGCUUAUUACACAAAUAUAUGUUUGCAAUGAAGGUUUCCCAGUUCAACCUUCAAAUAAAGUGGCUUCUUAAAUGCCUUCUGGAUAGAA